AUUAGCUUAAGUUAAGCGAAUCAAAUGGUUUAAUGUAGGCCUAGCCUACACUGUCACCAGUUUUAGUCAAAUGUUAAAGGCUAUAAAUCAUUAAAUGAAAGCGAACUUUAAAGUUGUUGAAAUAGCCUAUUAUGUGCCAUUUGUUAUAUAAAAGGAUAAAUGCAUAUCAAGUAUGUCUGCUUUGUUUUAGGGCCAAAAUUCAACAUCACAACAAGGAUGUUAUCCUUCUUUCGAAGCCAUCAAGCAAUGUCGUUGUCAAGCAUCGCACUAAGCAACAGUUACAUGAACACUGACAUAUAUUGAAUGGGUUUGAAUUCCAGAAGUCUUGGGACCAGAAGACUGUCACUGAACAAAUAAGGGAAGCCUUUAGAGAAAAACUGUGGGCUGAAGUGAGCCUUGUUUUUCUAAUGGCAUGUGGCAACAGGUUGAUUUCCCCCAAACUGCGUGCUGGACAGGAACUGGAUGCAAAUCUCAUCCACAAAGUAUAUAAAUCGAAAGCAAUAUACCUCAGACCAUCAAAGCCAAUUUUGGUACUGGAUGAUGAUCCUUUUAAGGAUGAUAGCAGCGAUGAUGACAAUUUGAGUUCAACUCGCCAACUGCGGUCCUCAUCUCUAACACAAGCUAGACCAGUCCAACAACUGCCUCCCCAUCAAACUGUACUUCUGCAGUUCAGUCUUUUGUCUCAUCACUUGGACGUGAAGUCUUAUCCAGUCAUACUCCAGCCACAGCCUACCACAGCAAUAUCUCACCUAACACCACCAUUUCAGCAAGCGGUUCUUCUAAUCAUCUGCCAGUAUGUCCUUCCACCAGUCAGCCUUCUGCCCUACCAUUUGGAGGAACAACUUCAGUUGAUCCAACACUGGUCCUGACUAACCAAACAGUUCAAGCUUACCUUAGAGGGUUUUUUUGUGUGCAAAAUACACAUUUGUUUUAUUUUUCUUUAAAGGAAGGUUUAGAUUGUCAGAGUUCAAUGAAGUUAAAAUAAUAUUUAUGCAGAAAUCUAUUGUGGAGUAAGCUUAACAUUUUGAAAUAGGCUUGGUUUUGUGGCCAGGAUUAUCUUGCCAGUAAUAUUGAAACUGCUUGUUUUUCAGUGAUAAUUCAUGCAUGCAUGCAAUUGAUAUUUUAAGUUUGAUAGUGUCUGCUCUAAUCAUCUGUGCUUGAUUGCAUUACAUGCUCCUAGAUUUAUUUGCAUGGACCAUUAAAACAAAAACUUGUUGCAAGUAUUUUUGAGCUUCAAGAGUUCAAAUCUUACUGUUGGGAUAGCUGGAUAAAGUGUACAAGCAUCCUAUAGGUGACACACUGACUGACCUGACAUAUUGUCUAAUAACAUUAAAUAUUGAUAUGAUUUACUCGGUAAGGAAUUGUUUACCAAAACUGAUCUACACACUGGCAUUACUUUGACAGAUUGUAAUUUAGGCUUAUUAGUGACAAAAUAAUUAGUGAUGCCUUAUACUUUUUUGACUCUUGUUAGUCUUGUUCUUUUACUACUAAAAUCUGUUUCUCUUGAUUUCCAUUUCUGCAAUUUUUCAUUAUUGGUAGAUUUGGUUUAUCCUGUUCAACAAAGGACAUAUGUUAAAGUCACAUUUUCAUUACCUUUAUUGAGAUGUAUAGAUCCAAAAGCAUGAAAAAAUUUGGUUUUCACAGUGUUUCAUGUUUCACCUUUUUCAGUAACAAGUUUCUGAACAUAAACAUGAUACAAUUAUACCAUGACCUUAAAACUAUAACAGUAUCUUUAAGUAAAGUGUUCUGUCACAUAGGCAGUGAAAGGCAGUUUUGCUUUGUAUUACACAACUAUAGUAAGUAAAUAUGUGCUUCUUCUAUUGAUGUAAACAUAAUCUUUGUCAAGUUAUGCAGUGUAGCUUCUGGAUGGUUUGGUUUCUCUUUUAAGACCGCACUGUUGCUUGCUCUGGAGGGAACUACAAGAACUGUUGGGUCCUUGUAAAUUAUGGAGUGGGGUGUAGACCUACUUUAUCUGUAAAGUGUCUUGAGAGAACUCUUGUUAUGAAUUGAUACUAUAAAUAAAAUUGAAUUGAAUUACGAUCACAUAUUAGGAAUGCCUCCCACAAAAAUGCACAAGGUUG